UUGGCUGCAUCUCAGUGAAUUGACGGGGAAUCGAAUUCCCGCGGCCGCGAUGGCGGGCGGGAGCAUGCGUCGUCGGGCCCCUUCGCCCUAUAGAGAGUCGUAUUAAAGCGGGGCUAAGACCGCGUAAGCUCUCAUUGUUUAGCAAGGUGAGAGGAAAACCCUUCGGGGUGGCAUGGGCGGGGGCUGCGGUCCAUCAGCUGGUUGGUGGGGUAACGGCCUACCAAGGCGACGACGGAUCGGGGACCUGAGAGGGUGAUCCCCCACACUGGAACUGACACACGGUCCAGACUCCUACGGGAGGCAGCAGUAAGGAAUAUUGGUCAAUGGGCGCAAGCCUGAACCAGCAACGCCGCGUGCGGGAUGAAGGGUUUCGGCCUGUAAACCGCUUUUCUGACGGACGAUGAUGACGGUACGUCAGGAAGAAGUCUCGGCUAACUACGUGCCAGCAGCCGCGGUAAAACGUAGGAGGCAAGCGUUAUCCGGAUUUACUGGGCGUAAAGCGCGUGCAGGCGGUCGGGUAAGUCGUGCGUGAAAGCUCCUCGCUCAACGGGGAGAGGACGUGCGAGACUGCUCGACUAGAGGAUGGUAGAGGCAAGUGGAAUUCCGGGUGGAGUGGUGAAAUGCGUAGAGAUCCGGAGGAACCCCUGUGGCGAAGGCGACUUGCUAGGCCAUCCCUGACGCUCAGACGCGAAAGCAUGGGGAGCGAACGGGAUUAGAAACCCCGGUAGUCCAUGCCGUAAACGAUGUUCACUAGGCGUUUCGGGGCGUUAGCUCUGGGGUGCCGCAGCCAACGCGGGAAGUGAACCGCCUGGGGGAGUACGACCGCAAGGUUCAC
rnacentral:rRNA from 1 species